UAAGCCUACACUCUUAAUUUUUUUCUUCUUACUUCUAAAAUAAAUCUCUUAAAUUUAUUUUAUUUUAAAAAUUUAGAGACAACCCAAUAUCCUUAAUUAUAUUGGGCUUAAUAACAAAUUUGAUCUCCUUAUUUUUAAAUUUUUUGAGUUUUAAUCCCUCUAUUUAAAAUUCGCUUUAUUUGUCUUUUCAUUUCAAUUUUUUUGGAAUUUUAGUUUCUCACUCCAUUUGAAAAUCA
rnacentral:lncRNA from 1 species